CAAGGCAGCCGGGCGGCCGCCGCCCCGACACGUCGGGGAGGAGGAAAGUCCGAGCUCCACCGGGUAGGAUGCCCGCUAACGGCGGGGCGGGGUAACCCGACGGAAAGUGCCACAGAAACAUACCGCCUCGAUUCGUCGGGGUAAGGGUGAAAUGGCGAGGUAAGAGCUCACCGCUCUGGUGGAGACAUCAGAGGCCAGGCAAACCCCAUCCGGAGCAAGGCCAAAUAGGGGGAAUCACGGACCCGGCCAUUCCCCGGGUUGGCCGCUUGAGCCCGUUGGCAACAUCGGGCCUAGAUAGAUGGCCGCCACCUGUCCGCACAACGGGAAGAAGCUCCGCUUCGGCGGAAUGUAAACCGCUGGGCGGUCCGGUACAGAACUCGGCUUACAGGCUGCCUUGGACC
rnacentral:RNase_P_RNA from 1 species